rnacentral:misc_RNA from 1 species
GAUGAAGAACGCAGCGAAAUGCGAUAAGUAAUGUGAAUUGCAGAAUUCAGUGAAUCAUCGAAUCUUUGAACGCACCUUGCGCUCCUUGGUAUUCCGAGGAGCAUGCCUGUUUGAGUGUCAUUAAAUUCUCAACCUUAUCAGUUUAUUUCUGAUAGUGGCUUGGAUGUGGGGGGUUUCUUGCUGGCUGACGUCGGCUCCCCUUAAAUGGAUUAGCUGGUGCCCCGUGUGGACUGUCUAUUGGUGUGAUAAUUAUCUACAUCUUAGACAUCUGCUGGAAUGCUGCUUUCUAAACCGUACUUGUAUUGACAAUCUUGAACUCAAAUCAGGUAGGACUACACGCUGAACUUAAGCAUAUCAAUAAGCGGAGGA